rnacentral:rRNA from 1 species
CCUACGGGCGGCAGCAGUCGAGAAUCAUUCACAAUGGGGGAAACCCUGAUGGUGCGACGCCGCGUGGGGGAAUGAAGGUCUUCGGAUUGUAAACCCCUGUCAUGUGGGAGCAAAUUAAAAAGAUAGUACCACAAGAGGAAGAGACGGCUAACUCUGUGCCAGCCGCCGCGGUAAUACAGAGGUCUCAAGCGUUGUUCGGAAUCACUGGGCGUAAAGCGUGCGUAGGCGGUUUCGUAAGUCGUGUGUGAAAGGCGCGGGCUCAACCCGCGGACGGCACAUGAUACUGCGAGACUAGAGUAAGGGAGGGGGAACCGGAAUUCUAGGUGUAGCAGUGAAAUGCGUAGAUAUCGAGAGGAACACUCGUGGCGAAGGCGGGUUCCUGGACAUUAACUGACGCUGAGGCACGAAGGCCAGGGGAGCGAAAGGGAUUAGAUACCCCAGUAGUC